CCUACGGGAGGCAGCAGUGAGGAAUAUUGGUCAAUGGGCGCGAGCCUGAACCAGCCAAGUAGCGUGAAGGAUGACUGCCCUACGGGUUGUAAACUUCUUUUAUAAAGGAGUAAAGUGAGGCACGUGUGCCUUAUUGUAUUUACUGUAUGAAUAAGGAUCGGCUAACUCCGUGCCAGCAGCCGCGGUAAUACGGAGGUUCCGAGCGUUAUCCGGAUUUAUUGGGUUUAAAGGGCGCGUAGAUUGUUUGUUAAGUCAGUUGUGAAAGUUUGCGGCUCAACCGUAAAAUUGCAAUUGAUACUGGGAGACUUGAGUACAGUAGAGGUAGGCGGAAUUCGUGGUGUAGCGGUGAAAUGCUUAGAUAUCGAGAAGAACACCGGUGGCGAAGGCGGCUUACUGGACUGUAACUGACACUGAGGCACGAAAGUGAGGGUAGCAAACAGGAUUAGAUACCCUAGUAGUC
rnacentral:rRNA from 1 species